rnacentral:misc_RNA from 1 species
GAAAUGCGAUACUUGGUGUGAAUUGCAGAAUCCCGUGAACCAUCGAGUCUUUGAACGCAAGUUGCGCCCCAAGCCUUCUGGCCGAGGGCACGUCUGCCUGGGCGUCACAAAUCGUCGUCCCCCUCAAUUCUUUUGCGGGUAUUGGACGGAAGCUGGUCUCCCGUGUGUUACCGCACGCGGUUGGCCAAAAUAUGAGUUAAGGAUGCGUGGAGCGUCCCGACAUGCGGUGGUGAACUCAAGCCUCUUCAUAUAGUCGGUCGUUCCUAUCCGAAAGCUCUCGAUGACCCAAUGUCCUCAAAGCGACCCCAGGUCAGGCGGGAUCACCCGCUGAGUUUAA